rnacentral:rRNA from 1 species
CGACCGGCGCACGGGUGAGUAACACGUAUGCAACCUGGCCGUCACAGGUGGAUAACCGGAAGAAAUUCCGACUAAUACAGCAUAACACUCCUGAGGGGACCAUCCCUUGGGAGUCAAAGGAGGCAACUCCGGUGACGGAUGGGCAUGCGGCGCAUUAGGUAGUUGGUAGGGUAACGGCCUACCAAGCCGACGAUGCGUAGGGGUUCUGAGAGGAAGGUCCCCCACAUUGGAACUGAGACACGGUCCAAACUCCUACGGAAGGCAGCAG